CUACGGGACGCUCCAGUGGGGAAUAUUGCACAAUGGGCGAAAGCCUGAUGCAGCAACGCCGCGUGAGGGACGACGGCCUUCGGGUUGUAAACCUCUUUUAGCAGGGAAGAAGCGAAAGUGACGGUACCUGCAGAAAAAGCACCGGCUAACUACGUGCCAGCAGCCGCGGUAAUACGUAGGGUGCAAGCGUUGUCCGGAAUUAUUGGGCGUAAAGAGCUCGUAGGCGGUUUGUCGCGUCUGCUGUGAAAAUCCGAGGCUCAACCUCGGACCUGCAGUGGGUACGGGCAAACUAGAGUGCGGUAGGGGAGAUUGGAAUUCCUGGUGUAGCGGUGGAAUGCGCAGAUAUCAGGAGGAACACCAAUGGCGAAGGCAGAUCUCUGGGCCGUAACUGACGCUGAGGAGCGAAAGCGUGGGGAGCGAACAGGAUUAGAUACCUCGUAGUC
rnacentral:rRNA from 1 species